CCACAUUUGGUUCUGGUUUCAAGUUAAUUUCAUUAGCGGUAUUGCAUUGGUAGGGCAACCGGAUUGUGAGGGGGAUCGGGGGGGGCGCCGCCGCGGUAGACCCUCGCGCGCCUCCCCCCCCGAGAGGGGGGGUUUAGGAUACGAAAAUGCCCAAAGUAAUUCACAACUCCAGCAAAGAAAAUUAGGCAAUCAUUUAACGAUAGACCAAUAGUAUAAUUUACCGGGGGGGGCAAGGGAGUGCCAGCACCCGCGGUUACACUUCCCUCCCCAAGUUAACUUACACGAAAGCGCAAAUAUGGUGAGCUAGUGUAUUAUGCAAGCAGCCAAGACCAGGUAAGUGGUGUAAUGCCAAACCAGGAUCUGGGGCCUAACCUGCUUGUACUCUCAUACCAGAAAUCUAGGGUAGGGACCGGGAUUAGAUACCCCGUUACUCCUAGGCGUAAAUGGAUUGCCGGGGGACUACGAGCUUUAGCUUAAAACCCAAAGAACUUGGCGGUAAUGAAAAUCAGCCCAGGGGAGCGUGACGGUUAAUUCGAUGAUCCGCGAUUACCUCACCUUUUUUUGUAAAAAACAGUUUGUAUACCGCCGUUGGAAGUCUAUCUUUCAAAAGAAUGGGAAUAGGCCUAACCUCCCCCCCCCCCGGGGGGGCGAGAGGACAACAGGUAAACGUGCAACCUAUAAAAAGGGCUUAGUUUCGCUACAAUUAGUAUAAUAAUACGGAGCCCCCCCUGAAAAGGGGGGGGGAAGGCGGACUUGGCAGUAGGCCCCUCAAUUAAAAGGGCCCGAACGGGUGCUUCAUUGCGUACAAAUCGCCCGUCGCUCGCGGAUAAAAAAACUGGGAUAAGUCGUAACAUAGUAGGGGUACCGGAAGGUGCCCCU
rnacentral:ncRNA from 1 species